CACCUCACCACACCCAGCUGGACUCCCCUCUUGCCCCUGCCCUUACGUGGGCAGGGCUGGGCCUCCAGGACCAGGCAGCCUGUAUGCCGGGCGCCCCCUGGUGGUUGGGGAACCCCAGCCUUGUGAGCCCCAAGAAUUGGAGAAGACCAGAGUAUUGGGGGAUAUUGAGCUCUGCUGCAGACCCCAACAGGGGCAUCUGACCCCAUUCUGCCUUCCUGGGAGCAGGAGGCUGAGGCAGGAGGAUCGCUUGAGGCGAAGACUUUGGGCCCACUGUGGCUGAAGAAAGGAGGCCUGAACCCAUUGCUGCAAAGGAUCCUGCCUCUUUCUGGGGCCCCCAGACUCCUGGCCAUCUUCAGGGUUAAUAAAGCUGCUUUUUAAUAACA